rnacentral:lncRNA from 1 species
UAAUGGGUUUCGUGUUCCGGAUAUUUAUUGGGUCGGUUUCUGAGGAUAUGAAAAUAUUAAACCAACACACAAUAUUUUCCAAGGUAUAUCUGUAUAUUGAUAAACACCUCGAAGGUGCUAUAAAUCCAAACCCGAAGGUUGGCUACAAUGGCUACUACUACGUACACUCACAAACCCUAGCUUCUAUAUAUAUAUAUAAUACAACACUAAGCUAGAGUUUAUUUGUGUGUAGUAGUGUGCAAGGCACAAAGCCAUUCCACCAUAAAGGUGGUGAA